GGGAAACCCACAUCUCUUUCCUAAUAGGACU
rnacentral:piRNA from 1 species